rnacentral:misc_RNA from 1 species
AAGGGUGAGAAGUGUGUCAUACACUGUAACAAUCUUGCAAUACCAUGAAGCAACGAGAAAUAGUAGGAGAGAAAAAUAAAACUGAGUGCCAUAUGCGUCAUAUCAGAAAGAUCAACAUGUAACUAAGUGCUUCUCAGGCAUUGGCAUUUCUAAAAGUUGAAUUUGUUCUUUGGACAAAUAGAAAGGGAGUGGAACAACAAAGCAUGAGUAGUCUUGAAAGAAAGAUGAUGCAAUCGAAGAACAAAAGCCCCCCUGAAACGAAUCAAGCCACAGUUAAACAAAACUAAAGGAGUAUCCAAAACAUGCAAUACAAACCAGCAUAAAAACAACAAACCAAACUAAAGAUAAAAACAGAAAUUUCUAAAAAAAAAAAGAUAAAAACAGAAAUAAAAGUACCCCAAGAUGACCCAAUACAAAACAAAACAGAGCAUUACGUAUCAGCUUUUCUUUCCAUGUCCAUCUCUUCUCAAUGCCCUUUUGGAUGUUCUAUAUAUUCUAAAUAUCCUUGUCGGGUGAUACAACAAAUUAAAGGCCCUAAUUUUUUUUUCUUCUUAUUCUUCUUCUUAUACUACUAAUUUUCCUCUUUUCCUACCUUUCAUAACAAUCAAUCAUCAACUCCCACUUCAAUGACAAUCCUUCAUGUAAUGAAGAAAAAAAAAAAAAAAAUUCAUGAGCAACCUAAAAUUUUUUACUUGGUUCUAUCAAUCUGUCUAACCCAAAGCACUCAGCUCAAAAUGACUUGAAUAUAAAUGAAUUAUAAAAUUGAAAGUAAACUCAAUAAUAUGUAAGACUUUAUCCAAAAUAAUCCAGAAAAGGAGCAUUGAGUUCAUCAGAAACUUAACAGUCAAACAUACCAAGGAAUUCAUAAUUCUUACGACUGAUAAUUGGCAUCCAACUUAGAAAGGGAAAAGAUUUCCCAAAGUGCUGAACCCACCACUUGGCGCCAACUGAAAUCACCAUAGUCAAAAAGUUCUCCAAAUGGACUCAAGGAGUUUGUAUGUUGUGCUUGCUUCCCAUCAACAACACUCAACUACAACAGAAAACAUCUUUAGCAAUCUACCAAGUGUAACCUAUUAUGCUGCUAAAACUUUUGAGGAAGAAAAAAUAAGUCCAAGAUAAAUAAAUAGAAUUCAAAAUGCAUCUAUAACCAACCUUGUAGAAAUUCACAGUGCAAGUUACAUUUAGCUCUGGAAGUAGAUGCAAGUAUUGCACUUCACCCAACUCCAACUGUGUUAAAAGUGCAAGCAUCACCUGCCAGAGUAAAGGACCUACUGCCCUAAAGCAAAAAAUAAAAAAAGAAUAUGCCAGGAGAAAUUUGAAAAGAGCUUCACUUCUAUUUUGUUGAUAAUUUAUCCAAAUCAAUGACUUCUAUAAACUGAAUUUCUGAAAAUUGAUGCAGCAAUAAUACUUAAGAAAAACCUCUUCUUUCAUAUCAAAUUUGCAGGAAGCAGAUUCUUUGAUUAUUGAACAAAUUUUCCCAUGCUUACCAUUGGUAAAGACUUGACAGAGGAACUUGCUUACAACAUAUUGAUCUACCCCUUUACUGAGAGUACAACGUCACAUAUCAAUUUCAAAUCUUUUGAAUUAUAAAGUCCUAAUUCAUAUAUAAUCACCUAUGCCAAAGACUUCGAAGGUUGUAGUAAGUGGCAUCAUAAAAAAAACAUGCUAGUAGGACAACCUUCCAUCCAGUCCAGCACAUCCAAUCCCCAAGAGAGGUGGCUCAGAAUAAAUCAAUCAAUCUCACAAAAUAAUCAGAGAAAUAUCUUCUCAAACAAUCCCCAUUCUCCAAUAACCAUCCUGAGAGCAGAACCAGAGAAGACUGAACAAAAGCAACGAUAGCAUUCUCCGUUGAAAAGAUCGUCUGAAUUUACAAGAUGGUAAUUAAAGAGAAGUCAUUUGCCGUGAACUGACAGUGACGGAAAUGGGCGCUGAAUAGAUAAUGGUGAUAAGAUUAUGUUU